rnacentral:rRNA from 1 species
GACGAACGCUGGCGGCGUGCUUAACACAUGCAAGUCGAACGGAAAGGCCCUGCUUUUGUGGGGUGCUCGAGUGGCGAACGGGUGAGUAACUCGUGAGUAACCUGCCCUUGCCUUUGGGAUAACUUCAGGAAACUGGGGCUAAUACCGGCUACGAGCUCCUGCUGCAUGGUGGGGGUUGGAGAGGUUCGGCGGCUGGGACUGGAGUCGCGGCUUAUCAGCUUGUUGGUGGGGUAGUGGCUUACCAAGGCUUUGACGGGUAGCCGGACUGAGAGGGUGACCGGGCACAUUGGGCCUGAGAAAGCAGCCAGACUGCUACGGGCGGAAGCGGUGGGAAAUAUUGCACACUGGGCGGAGGCAGGAAGGAGCAACGCCGCGUGGGGGAGGACUGCUUUCGGGUUGUAAACCGCUUUUGCCUGAGACGAAGCGUGAGUGACGGUAAUGGGUAAAGAAGCGCCGGCUAACUACGUG